AAAUUGAAGAGUUUGAUCAUGGCUCAGAUUGAACGCUGGCGGCAGGCCUAACACAUGCAAGUCGAACGGUAACAGGAAACAGCUUGCUGUUUCGCUGACGAGUGGCGGACGGGUGAGUAAUGUCUGGGAAACUGCCUGAUGGAGGGGGAUAACUACUGGAAACGGUAGCUAAUACCGCAUAACGUCGCAAGACCAAAGAGGGGGACCCUCGGGCCUCUUGCCAUCGGAUGUGCCCAGAUGGGAUUAGCUUGUUGGUGGGGUAACGGCUCACCAAGGCGACGAUCCCUAGCUGGUCUGAGAGGAUGACCAGCCACACUGGAACUGAGACACGGUCCAGACUCCUACGGGAGGCAGCAGUGGGGAAUAUUGCACAAUGGGCGCAAGCCUGAUGCAGCCAUGCCGCGUGUAUGAAGAAGGCCUUCGGGUUGUAAAGU
rnacentral:rRNA from 1 species